UGAAGUUCGAUAGGUGUCUGUCGCGGUGGUCUCUGCCUUCGGUCUGCAGGGAUGCGGCUCACCCGGCAAUGCUCUGCCCCGGGGGGUGCUCGAGUCCUACUGCCGCGGGCCCAGAGUCAGCCUGGGCGGUCCUGAAAGCAGGUCCCCAGUCCGCACUUCUUUCUCCUUCGGGGUUUGGGUGUGUCUGUGGGCUUUGUUUUCCAGGGCAGGUCCCCGGCUGUCAUGUGCCCCUUAUCGGAGUGACAUGGGCAGGUUAGCCAGCCUCCUUGGGCCUUGUUUGGGGCCAGACUACAUCUACUUUGCGGUGAGGAUUUACUGAGGCAGCCUGUAAAAGGCCCCUUCCCAGUGCCUAGUUCAGAGCAGAGA
rnacentral:lncRNA from 10 species